rnacentral:lncRNA from 1 species
UUUAAGUCUGCAGAGGUUACUGCUGUCUUUUUGUUUGUCUGUGCCCUGCCCGCAGAGGUGGAGCCUACAGAGGCAGGCAGGCCUCCUUGAGCUGUGGUGGGCUCCACCCAGUUCGAGCUUCUGGGCUGCUUUGUUUACCUAAUCAAGCCUGGGCAAUGGCGGGCGCCCCUCCCCCAGCCUCACUGCAGCCUUGCAGUUUGAUCUCAGACUGCUGUGCUAGCAAUCAGCGAGACUCCGUGGGCGUAGGACCUUCCGAGCCAGGUGUUGGUUAUAAUUUCGUGGUGCGCCGUUUUUUAAGCCCGUCGGAAAAGCGCAGUAUUCGGGUGGGAGUGACCCGAUUUUCCAGGUGCUGUCCGUCACCCCUUUCUUUGACUCGGAAAGGGAACUCCCUGACCCCUUGCGCUUCCCAAAGUGAGGCAAUGCCUCGCCCUGCUUUGGCUCGCGCACGGUGCGCGCACCCACUGACCUGCGCCCGCUGUCUGGCACUCCCUAGUGAGAUGAACCCUGUACCUCAGAUGGAAAUGCAGAAAUCACCCGUCUUCUGCGUCGCUCAUGCUGGGAGCUGCAGACCGGAGCUGUUCCUAUUCGGCCAUCUUGGUUCCUCCCUCCAAGAACUACUUAACAAUAUACAUACUGAUCCAUUGUGGAAUUAUUAAGGAAAAUACAUUGAAAUAGGUGGCAUUCUUGUCAAAGAUAUAUAUGGACGGCUAGAUGGAUAGAUAGGUGAAAAUCAUGUUCCAUGGAAGAAGAGUUAGCUCAGCCUGCAACUCAAACAAGUACAGAUAUUCUUCCAUGGAAUGACCAUCAUACUUGGAUUGUAAUAAAAAUGCUUUAGGCAAACUUCUCAUUUCAUCCUUGGCAUAUUAAAAAUAUGUAUGUAUGUUUAAGGCUUGAAACUUAACACUGUAUUUUAAUGUUUCAGUAAGGUAAUUCUUCUUAAAUAAAAUUGGCAUUUUUAAAAAAGCCCUCUCUCACCACUCCUAUUCAACAUAGUGUUGGAAGUUCUGGCCAGGGCAAUUAGGCAGGAGAAAGAAAUAAAGGGUAUUCAAUUAGGAAAAGAGGAAGUCAAAUUGUCCCUGUUUGCAGAUGACAUGAUUGUAUAUCUAGAAAACCCCAUUGUCUCAGCCCAAAAUCUCCUUAAGCUGAUAAGCAACUUCAGCAAAGUCUCAGGUUACAAAAUCAAUGUACAAAAAUCACAAGCAUUCUUAUACACCAAUAACAGACAAGCAGAGAGCCAAAUUAUGAGUGAACUCCCAUUCAUAAUUGCUUCAAAGAGAAUAAAAUACCUAGGAAUCCAACUUACAAGGGAUGUGAAGGACCUCUUCAAGGAGAACUACAAACCACUGCUUAAGGAAAUAAAAGAGGAUACAAAGAAAUGGAAGAACAUUCCAUGCUCAUGGGUAGGAAGAAUCAAUAUCGUGAAAAUGGCCAUACUGCCCAAGGUAAUUUUUAUAGAUUCAAUGCCAUCCCCAUCAAGCUACCACUGACUUUCUUCACAGAAUUGGAAAAAACAACUACUUUAAAGUUCAUAUGGAACCAAAAAAGAGCCCGCAUUGCCAAGUCAAUCCUAAGCCAAAAGAACAAAGCUGGGGGCAUCACACUACCUGACUUCAAACUAUACUACAAGGCUACAGUAACCAAAACAGCAGGGUACUGGUACCAAAACAGAGAUAUUGAUCAAUGGAACAGAACAGAGCCCUCAGAAAUAACGCCGCACAUCUACAACUAUCUGAUCUUUGACAAACCUGACAAAAACAAGCAAUGGGGAAAGGAUUCCCUAUUUAAUAAAUAGUGCCGGGAAAACUGGCCAGCUAUAUGGAGAAAGCUGAAACUGGAUCCCUUCCUCACACCUUAUACAAAAAUUAAUUCAAGAUGGAUUAAAGACUUAAAUGUUAGACCUAAAACCAUAAAAACCCUAGAAGAAAACCUAGGCAUUACCAUUCAGGACAUAGGCAUGGGCAAGGACUUCAUGUCUAAAACACCAAAAGUAAUGGCAACAAAAGCCAAAAUUGAGAAAUGGGAUCUAAUGAAACUAAAGAGCUUCUGCACAGCAAAAGAAACUACCAUCAGAGUGAACAGGCAACCCACAAAAUGGGAGAAAAUUUUCGCAACCUACUCAUCUGACAAAGGGCUAAUAUCCAGAAUCUACAAUGAACUCAAACAAAUUUACAAGAAAAAAACAAACAACCCCAUCAAAAAGUGGGCAAAAGACAUGAACAGACACUUCUCAAAAGAAGACAUUUAUGCAGCCAAAAAACACAUGAAAAAUUGCUUACCAUCACUGGCCAUCAGAGAAAUGCAAAUCAAAACUACAAUGAGAUACCAUCUCACACCAGUUAGAAUGGCAAUUAUUAAAAAGUCAGGAAACAACAGGUGCUAGAGGGGAUGUGGAGAAAUAGGAACACUUUUACACUGUUGGUGGGACCGUAAACUAGUUCAACCAUUGUGGAAGGCAGUGUGGUGAUUCCUCAGGGUUCUAGAACUAGAAAUACCAUUUGACCCAGUCAUCCCAUUACUGGGUAUAUACCCAAAGGAUUAUAAAUCAUGCUGCUAUAAAGACACAUGCACACGUAUGUUUAUUGUAGCACUAUUCACAAUAGCAAAGACUUGGAACCAACCCAAAUGUCCAACAAUGAUUGAUAGACUGGAUUAAGAAAAUGUGGCACAUAUACACCAUGCAAUACUAUGCAGCCAUAAAAGAUGAAGAGUUCAUGUCCUUUGUAGGGACAUGGAUGAAAUUGGAAAUCAUCAUUCUCAGUAAACUAUUGCAAGGAUAAAAAACCAAACACCGCAUGUUCUCACUCAUAGGUGGGAAUUGAACAAUGAGAACACAUGGACACAGGAAGGGGA